rnacentral:tRNA from 1 species
GGAGACGUGGAUGAGUGGCUGAAAUCGGCGCCCUGCUAAGGCGUUAUGCGGGCUUAAACCCGUAUCGAGGGUUCGAAUCCCUCCGUCUCCGCCA